rnacentral:rRNA from 1 species
GACGAACGCUGGCGGCGUGCUUAACACAUGCAAGUCGAACGGAAAGGCCCUGCUUUUGUGGGGUGCUCGAGUGGCGAACGGGUGAGUAACACGUGAGUAACCUGCCCUUGACUUUGGGAUAACUUCAGGAAACUGGGGCUAAUACCGGAUAGGAGCUCCUGCUGCAUGGUGGGGGUUGGAAAGUUUCGGCGGUUGGGGAUGGACUCGCGGCUUAUCAGCUUGUUGGUGGGGUAGUGGCUUACCAAGGCUUUGACGGGUAGCCGGCCUGAGAGGGUGACCGGCCACAUUGGGACUGAGAUACGGCCCAGACGCCUACGGGAGGCAGCAGUGGGGAAUAUUGCACAAUGGGCGGAAGCCUGAUGCAGCAACGCCGCGUGCGGGAUGACGGCCUGCGGGUUGUAAACCGCUUUCGCCUGUGACGAAGCGUGAGUGACGGUAAUGGGUAAAGAAGCACCGGCUAACUACGUG